GGUGCAUGGUUGUCGUCAGCUCGUGUCGUGAGAUGUUGGGUUAAGUCCCGCAACGAGCGCAACCUUGUGUUUAGUUGCAAACAGGUCAAGCUGUGCACUCUAGACAGACUGCCGUGGACAACACGGAGGAAGGUGGGGAUGACGUCAAAUCAUCAUGCCCCUUAUGAUCUGGGCUACACACGUGCUACAAUGGCCGGUACAACGGGCAGCGAAGGAGCGAUCCGGAGCGAAUCCUAAAAAGCCGGUCCCAGUUCGGAUUGCAGGCUGAAACUCGCCUACAUGAAGUUGGAGUUGCUAGUAAUCGCGAAUCAGAAUGUCGCGGUGAAUGCGUUCCCGGGUCUU
rnacentral:rRNA from 1 species